rnacentral:rRNA from 1 species
GAUGAACGCUAGCGGCAGGCCUAACACAUGCAAGUCGAGGGGUAGCAGGAUUAAGCUUGCUUAAUUGCUGACGACCGGCGCACGGGUGCGUAACGCGUAUGCAACCUACCUUAUACUGGGGUAAAGCCCGGAGAAAUUCGGAUUAAUCCCCCAUAGUACUAAUGAAUCGCAUGGUUUAUUAGUUAAAGCAUUGCGGUAUAAGAUGGGCAUGCGUCCUAUUAGCUAGAUGGUGAGGUAACGGCUCACCAUGGCUACGAUAGGUAGGGGGCCUGAGAGGGUGGUCCCCCACACUGGGACUGAGACACGGACCAGACUCCUACGGGAGGCAGCAGUGAGGAAUAUUGGUCAAUGGGCGCAAGCCUGAACCAGCCAUGCCGCGUGCAGGAAGAAUGCCCUAUGGGUUGUAAACUGCUUUUAUUUGGGAAUAAACCUCUUUACGUGUAGAGAGCUGAAGGUAACAAAUGAAUAAGCACCGGCUAACUCCGUGCCAGCAGCCGCAGUAA